UUCAUAUCAUGAUGCAAGGUUCUUGCAGCCUCAUUGGUAUCUGCUGCCAAUUCUGCAACUCCAUCAUUCACAAUUUCAAGCACAUCUUGAAAUCUGAAUAUGACCUUCAUCUGCGCACACCACCGAUCAUAAUUCUCACCUUUGAACACCGGAAGAUUCGCUGGAAAUUGGGAACUCGUCGUACUUUGAUUUGCCAUUGCGGAAAUUGGAUCUUAACCAAUGCUCUUGAUACCAGUUUGUUGGAACAAG
rnacentral:lncRNA from 1 species